rnacentral:rRNA from 1 species
AUGAUCAACAAUACAUUGACCUGAUCGUGCCCAAUCUCGUCUGAUCUCGGAAGCUAAGUGGGGUCUGGCCUGGUUAGUACUUGGAUGGGAGACCACCUUGGAAUACCAGGUGCUGUAGGUG